rnacentral:miRNA from 1 species
AGGAUUCCAGUUCACAUUCAUCGCUGUCGGUGGGUUAAUGAUGCCGUCAACUCGCUGGUGGAUGAAUGUCAACUGUGUCC